GUGGGGAAUAUUGGGCAAUGGGGGCAACCCUGACCCAGCGACGCCGCGUGAGGGAAGACGGCCUUAGGGUCGUAAACCUCUGUUGUGUGGGAAGAAGGAAGUGACGGUACCACACGAGGAAGUCCCGGCUAACUACGUGCCAGCAGCCGCGGUAAUACGUAGGGGACGAGCGUUGUCCGGAAUUACUGGGCGUAAAGGGCGCGUAGGCGGUCAUUUAAGUCAGCUGUGAAAUGGUCCGGCUCAACCGGAUCAUGCGGUUGAAACUGGAGGACUGGAGUGCUGUAGAGGCAAGUAGAAUUCCCAGUGUAGCGGGGAAAUGCGUAGAUAUUGGGAAGAUCACCGGUGGCGAAGGCGACUUGCUGGCCAGCAACUGACGCUGAGGCGCGAAAGCCAGGGGAGCAAACGGGAUUAGAAACCCGUGUAGUCC
rnacentral:rRNA from 1 species